AUCUAUCUGAUGAGUCCCAAGUGGGAUAAAACGUGCGUCCUAGAU
rnacentral:hammerhead_ribozyme from 1 species